GGAAAGGAGCCCUGUGGCAGGACAUCUGCCCUGCUGCUGCUGGUUCAUGUAUCACCUCUGCCCUGCCAAUAUCUUGUGGUACCUAUGUGAGCAACAGAUGAACAGACCGAUCCAGGUGAAGCCAGCGGACAGCGAAAGCCGAGGAGGUAGUUGACUGCAUUGCUUUCAGCCACAGUGCUAAAUAUAAUUGUUGUCUCUGGCUUCUCUCAGGCAAUGUGCU
rnacentral:lncRNA from 12 species